CCUGUCUUUUACUUGAGCAGCUACCACUCUCGCAGUCUGUGACCUUACUGUUUGCUCCCACCAGUUCUUGUCCAUGCUUUGGCUUUUCUCCAUGCUGACCCCUUUAGUUGUUCUAGGCACCUUCAGCCUCCUUUCAGAGAGACAGUAAGCUCAGUGAGGGCAAGGACCCUGUCUUUCUUAUUCCCAGCUUUACCCGCAGCACACAGCCCGGUUUCUUAUCUAGAGUGACCAGAGAAACUGUCUCCUCAUUGAAAUGAAUCCAUGGAAUGAAAACAGACUGUGAGUUCAGAAAGUUUGAUGACUGCUGCCUUGAAAACUGUCACAAAUAUACAUGAGGAGACAUGCACAGCAAGCAGAGAUCAUCAAGCACUGAAAGCAAGAUGAUGAAAGACUCUUCCACCAUUUCUUCGGUUCUUGGAUGGCGUUUAAACCCCGGGAUUCUCAUGCAAUCCCAAGACAGAGAAGGACCUCGAAAAUGAACGGUCAUUGAUUUCCCACCAGCUCUAUUGAGUGGGCAAGGUGGUAGGAAGGGGGCGAGCGUCAGAUUUAACCUGAUUGUCGAAAGCACCUGUCACAGAGCAUGUGUCCCUUACUUGUGCCCCAAGGGAGCCUGGAGUCAGGUCAGCUGAGCUCAUCCCUUGCUGACGACACAGGACAUCGGAGACGCACAGUGAGAUGAUGGCUUCAGGAGACAGCCUGGUCCUGGUUCUGCCUCUUAUUCCCUCCAUCUCUAUAAAGCUUCUUCACUUACAGAAAGGAAAAUCUAGCAAUCCUGGCCUCUACCAAUAGAAUUCCUGGAAAGAUCCCAUCUCACAGCUACCUAAAAAUCCCAUAUUAAUGCAUGCCCAAUGAUGUCAGCUCUCAGUUUAAUGAUGACACUAAUUAUUCUGAAACUCAGUUCUUCUAAUUUAUGAAAGGAGGUUUAUAUAAAGAGUCACUUCUUGCCUGGGCUUCUAGAAAGGUUUAUACAUUUGAGAAAUCAGGUUGUAGAAAAAGAAAUGUAUGAAAGAAGGCAUCUCAAAAUAAUGUCAAUGACUACUAUUUACUAAGCAUCUAAAGUGGACCAGAUCUAUGCUAGUUUCUUUCAGCCAUAUGAUCCCACUGAUCCUUAGAGCUACCCUAACAGGUGGAUUAAACAGAUUAGGAAAGUGAAGGCUGAAAAAAUCAAGCCUGUGCCCAUGUCCACAAUGAAUAAAUGGUUAAUCCUGGCCUGAAAGUGGUUACUU
rnacentral:lncRNA from 1 species